AAAAGAAUCCCAUUUGGUAAAAAGAGUUUUUACGUGAAACAGAGAAGCGGCUGAAAAGUGAAAAGUGGAGAAAGGGCAAAGAGGAAGAGCAAGGGCAAAGGUUGGAGAAGAGAAAAGCUUGAAGCUUAAAGAUUCGCCGGAUUAACUCAGGUAACGAGCAGUGAUUGAGUAGAAGCUAAUGCUUGGAGUCUAGUGUAGUCUCCUUAGUGGGUCAUGCUCUGAUAGAUGUAACAUCGGGAGGGAACAUUUUAAUUGUGUUGUUGAUGUUUGUUGAACCAGUUUACAUGUAGUAUGUUACAUGUUUUGAAUGAUCGAUUUGAUCUCUAUCCGCUGCGUAUUGUGCAAUACUUUAUGUUUUGAGUUAAAUAAUGAGCAUGACUAAAUAGUAUGACGAAUGGUGCGAAAUAAAUGUGUGACACCCUUAGUUGCA